CUACGGGGUGCACCAGUGAGGAAUAUUGCACAAUGGGGGGAACCCUGAUGCAGCAACGCCGCGUGGAGGAUGACGCAUUUCGGUGUGUAAACUCCUUUUAUAUGUCAAGAAAAUGACGGUAGCAUAUGAAUAAGCACCGGCUAACUCCGUGCCAGCAGCCGCGGUAAUACGGAGGGUGCAAGCGUUACUCGGAAUCACUGGGCGUAAAGGACGCGUAGGCGGGUUGGAAAGUCAGGUGUGAAAUCCUACAGCUUAACUGUAGAACUGCACUUGAAACUUCUAAUCGAGAGUAUGGGAGGGGGAGAUGGAAUUAGUGGUGUAGGGGUAAAAUCCGUAGAUAUCACUAGGAAUACCUAAAGCGAAGGCGAUCUCCUGGAACAUUACUGACGCUAAGGCGUGAAAGCGUGGGGAGCAAACAGGAUUAGAUACCCCCGUAGUC
rnacentral:rRNA from 1 species